rnacentral:sRNA from 1 species
CUGAGUGACUGAGAAUUGGCGUACCAAUUUAGGGGUUAUCCGAAAUUGAAUCCAAAACCCGGUUCUGAAGAAUCGGGUCGAUAGUGAGAGUAGGUAAGAAAGUCUUCCAAGU